rnacentral:rRNA from 1 species
GACGAACGCUGGCGGCGUGCCUAAUACAUGCAAGUCGAGCGAAGUGGAGGAAGCUUGCUUCCAAAGCUUAGCGGCGGACGGGUGAGUAACACGUAGGCAACCUGCCUGUAAGACUGGGAUAACUCCGGGAAACCGGAGCUAAUACCGGAUAACUUGUAAGACCGCAUGGUCUUACACUAAAAGGACAUGAUCCACUUACAGAUGGGCCUGCGGCGCAUUAGCUAGUUGGUGAGGUAACGGCUCACCAAGGCAACGAUGCGUAGCCGACCUGAGAGGGUGACCGGCCACACUGGGACUGAGACACGGCCCAGACUCCUACGGGAGGCUG